CCUAGAGUUGUAGGCUUUGCCUGCUAUCUCUUACCCAUGUAUCUUUUGAAGUACCUUCGGUUUCCCUCGGCGGGUCCGCCCGCCGAGUUGGACAAAUUUAAAACCAUUUUGCAGUUGCAAUCAGCGUCAUGAAAAAACUUAAUAGUUA
rnacentral:misc_RNA from 1 species